rnacentral:rRNA from 1 species
UACGUAGGGUGCGAGCGUUAAUCGGAAUUACUGGGCGUAAAGCGUGCGCAGGCGGUUUUGCAAGCCGGAUGUGAAAUCCCCGGGCUCAACCUGGGAAUGGCAUUCGGGACUGCAAGGCUGGAGUGCGGCAGAGGAGACUGGAACUUCCUGGUGUAGCAGUGAAAUGCGUAGAUAUCAGGAGGAAUACCGAUGGCGAAGGCAGGUCUCUGGGCUGACACUGACGCUCAUGCACGAAAGCGUGGGGAGCAAACAGG